GUUUUAGUACGUAGUCGCCAUGGAUGGCGAAUCAUACAUCCUCCUGUUAGAGUUAGUAGUAUCUUUAGAAGAUUUC
rfam:Glossina palpalis gambiensis isolate 146720 unplaced genomic scaffold Scaffold278, whole genome shotgun sequence.